CCUACUUAUUUGAUAGAUAAUCUUUUGGCUGCUGGAAACUUCACGUUUCGUAUGGCUAAUAUUUUGCCUUCUGUUUUUAGUGUCACGAGUUCAUGAUUCAUUUCAAAAGUUUGGGGGGUGGGGAUGUUUCAUUCCAGUUGGAAAUUAGGUUUCAAACUAGGAUUAACAUGUGGCUCACUACAAGAAAUAUGAGCUAUGACGACAUUUAAUUAGUGACAUUUAUAAUAAAUGUAGGGAGAGGGUUCAAUUCGUGACAUUUGUCAACAAAAUGUGGCAAAAAUACUAACUUUUGAUGACAAAUGACAGAAAUAUUGUGAUUUGAUAGAAAUGUCACAUAAUUAAGAUAAAAUGACAUUUAAUUAGUGAUAUGUACAGCAAAUGUCAAAAAAAUUACUAGUUUCAAAAAAGAAAGAUAGUUUUUUCCCCCAAAUCUCCCUCUCAAAUCUCUAAAAAAUCCUACUCCGCAAUCUCACUCUCUUACAAUUGAAGUUCAUUUUUUUUCCUCCCCGGUUUCUCUAUCCCGUCUAAAUCCUUACACCUCAGCCAUGAAUCUCAAAAAAUCCUUCAAGAAUAGCAGUAUGAAAUGUAUUCUCUGCUUGCUUAAUUCCCUAUUUCCUUCUCUUUGUCUACUGCGCAUCGGAAUAACUCUAGAUUAGGGGGUUGUGGCAACGCGGAAAGCAGCGUAGGAAGUAGAAACUCCAGCCAACGCCCCUAAAAUUACACUGGAUGGACCUUUUUGGAACCAUUGUCUAUAUUUUGACAAAUUUUGGUAAAAUUUUGAAUGUGUUUAAGAGGAGAAAUUGUAUACUUUUAGCUGUUCCCAAAAGUAGGACAAUAAAAUGUAUAGUUUUGGUAUGUAUAUGUAUUAGCUACAUAUAAUAUACAUAUUUUAUAUACUUUUUAGUUAGCGACGAAUGUAAAUAGUUUCGACCGACCGAACAACUUUUGUAUUUUGCGCAAUCAAAUGUGGUGGCCCAAA